UCGUGACGGAGGAGAGAGGCUUGAAGAGCCUCGAGCUCGUCAGAAUUUCGAGGUCGAAUUGCGGCAAUUCUCACUACAAUUGUGCUUGAGAAUUCAAGUCUCAAUGCACAAUUCUUCAACGAGAUCGCGAAUCGGCACAUUUAUUCACCUGGGUAUCCGAUUUCGGCAUUUGAUUUGCUUCGCAAUUGACAGCUUCUGUGGCGGCCUGUUCCCUGCGGGGUUUCGUGUUACAGGUGAAGAGUUUUAGCAUUGAAGCCGGUGAGGGCGAGCGAAAUGCAGGUCGUUCUUCGAUGUGGAAUAGGUUAUGGAGAUUACGCUCAUCUGACUUCUUGGUUUUGGGAAAAAUUCUCUGCUUCGCUCUUACACAUUCGUGAAUCCCAGUGUUAUCAACUUCUCCGGUUUUUGAAGGGCUCAACCCCGUGAGCUUAGAGCAUUCAGGGAUUGGCCGCUGCAGAAUUCAGUUUCUGCUAAUUCUCGAAGGGGCUUGAGGGUCCGUCGCCUACGAUUAGCAGCGAAUUUGCAAUAGUAUUCGGAUUCAAUCGUAGUAGGAUUCCAAGUACUACCUGAGUACGUAGAUUGAUUUUGUAUUUUAGAGGAGGGGUGUAUGGUGUAUGGCAGCCGAUCUUUAGUCCCCGAGAAUCCUCUCAUUCUUACCCAUCCAAGCGAUACAUGUACAGCAGGAUGGUGUGUAUUUCUCUCUGUGGAUGCAUACACCUAAUGACAUAAUCACCUAAGAAACGAUCUCACACUUAAAAUGUCACUCAGGGUUCUGCGAGUCUGUUGGUUCAUUACCGACUGUUGCCAAUUUUGCGUUACUACAUGUGUUUUGAUCUCGAAUAGCAGUAGACAUUGUGAGCGAACAAGCUAAUGGUUGAGCGAAACAGAAAUUUUCAUCUUACUUUAGCACCUACGAAUCUGCAUCUUAACUUUCUGGAUUGAUGAGUUGUAUCCUUAUAAUUUCGGAGUAAAAUGUGUCCAUUGCUAAUA